UGGGGUGUAGCCAAGUGGUAAGGCACCUGUUUUUGGUACAGCGCAUCGUAGGUUCGAAUCCUACCACCCCAGCCA
rnacentral:tRNA from 4 species